GGUUUGAAUCCAUUCAACUUUUUUAUCUGGCUUCGGUAGCUGAUUCUAGCUUUGAUCUUGCUUGCAUGUCUUUCAAUUUUACAGACUCUCUUAGAUGUUACAAUGGCUAUCACAAGAUCUCCGAGUUCGUCGCCCUUUGAGGGUGGUCUUCUAGUGAUCCUUUGAGGUUCCUGAGAGGUUGUUGAUGCUUCUUCUAGGGUUGCUGAAGCACGAGUCACAACUCUAGGAUCGAUCUACACGUUUAGGCGAAAUCCAUAAACCCUAAACCUGCACUACUUAUACAUCUAUUAAAAAUGAAACAACUCAAAGGAGGGUUCUAGAACUUGUUGCUUUGCCCAAUGAUGGAAUUCCUAGAUUGUUGCUUGAUAUCAGUUGUAGAUAAAGACUUAGUGGAAAUACAUUGUCUGAGAAUGAGAAUGGUCACCAGUGGAUUGGCAUGAAUAUUUCACAGUCAAUGUUUAAUGUUGCACUCCAACUCCAUUUUCAAUUGCAAUACCAAGUAAAUUCAAAGCAAACAUGAAGACUCCUCUGUAUCAUGUUAAUCAAGUAAAUCCAUAUGAACUGUAUGAAGACUCCAUUUUCAAU